rnacentral:rRNA from 1 species
AUUGAACGCUGGCGGCAUGCCUUACACAUGCAAGUCGAACGGCAGCACGGGAGCAAUCCUGGUGGCGAGUGGCGAACGGGUGAGUAAUAUAUCGGAACGUGCCCAGUCGUGGGGAUAACGUAGCGAAAGCUACGCUAAUACCGCAUACGAUCUAUGGAUGAAAGCGGGGGAUCGCAAGACCUCGCGCGAUUGGAGCGGCCGAUAUCAGAUUAGGUAGUUGGUGAGGUAAAGGCUCACCAAGCCGACGAUCUGUAGCUGGUCUGAGAGGACGACCAGCCACACUGGAACUGAGACACGGCCCAGACUCCUACGGGAGGCAGCAGUGGGGAAUUUUGGACAAUGGGCGCAAGCCUGAUCCAGCAAUGCCGCGUGCAGGAUGAAGGCCUUC